rnacentral:rRNA from 1 species
GUGUCAGCCGCCGCGGUAAUACGUAGGGGGCAAGCGUUGUCCGGAAUCAUUGGGCGUAAAGAGCGCGUAGGCGGCCAGAUAAGUCCGGUGUGAAAGUCACAGGCUCAACCUGUGAAUGCCGCUGGAUACUGUCUGGCUUGAGUCCGGAAGGGGCGAGUGGAAUUCCUGGUGUAGCGGUGAAAUGCGCAGAUAUCAGGAGGAACACCGAUGGCGAAGGCAGCUCGCUGGAACGGUACUGACGCUGAGGCGCGAAAGCGUGGGGAGCGAACAGGAUUAGAAACCCGGGUAGUCC